CGUUUCAAUUUUUGUUGGUUUCUAGAGACGCCGCAAUGAUUAACAGGAACAGUCGGGGGCAUCAGUAUUCAGUUGUCAGAGGUGAAAUUCUUGGAUUUACUGAAGACUAACUACUGCGAAAGCAUUUGCCAAGGAUGUUUUCAUUAAUCAGUGAACGAAAGUUAGGGGAUCGAAGACGAUCAGAUACCGUCGUAGUCUUAACCGUAAACUAUGCCGACUAGGGAUCGGGCGAUGUUCUUUUUCUGACUCGCUCGGCACCUUACGAGAAAUCAAAGUUUUUGGGUUCUGGGGGGAUUAUGGUCGCAAGGCUGAAACUUAAAGAAAUUGACGGAAGGUCACCACCAGGCGUGGAGCCUGCGGCUUAAUUUGACUCAACACGGGGAAACUCACCAGGUCCAGA
rnacentral:rRNA from 1 species